UGGGUGUAGCUGAUUCUGUCCAUCAUUGAUCAAUUGGAACUGAAUUAGAUCUUCUCUUCAUUGAAGAUAUCCACUUCCAUCAGAAUACAUCCUUAUACAGUAUUGUUGUUGAAACACAUAAUGAUCUCCUGGUUCUGCUCAUUUCACUUAACAACAGUUCAUGUAAGUCUCUCCAGGCCUUUCUGAAGUCAUCCUGCUGGUUGUUUCUUAAAGAACAAUAAUAUUCCAUAACAUUCAUAUACCAUAAUUUAUUCAGCCAUUCCCCAAUUGAUGCACCCACUCAGUUUCCAGUUUCUUGCUACUACAAACAGGGCUGCCAACAAACAUUUUGGCACAUACAGGUCCCUUUCCCUUCUUUAAGAUAUCUUUGGGAUAUAAGCCUAGUAGUAACACAGCUGGAUCAAAGGGUAUGCACAGUUUGAUAACUUUUUGGGCAUAAUUCCAGAUUGCUCUCCAGAAUGGUUGGAUUCGUUCACAACUCCACCAACAAUGCAUCAGUGUCCCAGUUUUCCCGCAUCCCUUCCAACAUUCAUCAUUAUUUUUUCUGUCAUCUUAGCCAAUCAGCAGGUAUGUGAGUAUAUCUCAGAGUUGUCUUAAUUUGCAUUUCUCUGAUCAAUAGUGAUUUGGAACACCCUUUCAUAUGAAUAAAAAUAGUUUCAAUUUCAUCAUCUGAAAAUUGUCUGUUCAUAUCCUUUGACCAUUUAUCAAUUGGAGAAUGGCUUGAUUUCUUAUAGAGUCAAUUCUCUAUAUAUUUUGGAAAUGAGACCUUUAACUGUAAAAACGUUUCCUCAGUUUGUUGCUUCCCUUCUAAUCUUGUCUGCAUUAGUUUUGUUUGUACAAAGGCUUUUAAUUUGAUAUAAUCAAAAUUUUCUAUUUUGUGAUCAAUAAUGAUCUCUAGUUCUUCUUUGGUCACAAAUUCCUUCCUCCUCCACAAGUCUGAGAGGUAAACUAUCCUAUGUUCCUCUAAUUUAUUUAUAAUCUCAUUCUUUAUGUCUAGAUCAUGGAC
rnacentral:lncRNA from 1 species